UACGGAGGGUGCAAGCGUUAUCCGGAUUCACUGGGCUUAAAGGGUGCGUAGGCGGGCAGGUAAGUCAGUGGUGAAAUCUUCGAGCUUAACUCGGAAACUGCCGUUGAUACUAUCUGUCUUGAAUACCGUGGAGAUGAGCGGAAUAUGUCAUGUAGCGGUGAAAUGCUUAGAUAUGACAUAGAACACCAAUUGCGAAGGCAGCUCGUUGGACGAAUAUUGACGCUGAGGCACGAAAGCGUGGGGAUCAAACAGG
rnacentral:rRNA from 1 species